UACAACGGAACGUAAUGUACAUCUGGAUUGUUACUAAUAGUAGUAAAUAUCUAACUUUUUCCACAUCCAAUUUUUCUUUACAGGAUCAUUUAAUUCAUAACAAAACGUCAGAAUCAUAUAAACUAUAUAUUCAAAAAGUGACGAUAUUUUUUUUUGUAUUUCACUUUACUGCAGUAUAAAAAUAUUCUUAUAAAAUAUAAUGUUACUUAGAGUCUAACUUAAAAAUAUUUCAUAAUUACUUAAAUACUAAAUAUGUAAAUUAAUAUUUAUUGUUUAUUUUACCAACAAUAGAUAAUCUUAAUUAAUUAUUUAUCAAUGUAUUACACCAAAGUCAAUUUUGAAUACAGUUAUCUUUAAGCUUAAUAAUCUAUUUACUUUCAUGAAUUUUUAACAGCUUACCAACCUUGAAUAUUACAUAAUAAUAAUAAUAUGCGUGGUUAUAUUGACACACUAUCAAAACCUUCUAUAAUAAUAAUUUCAAUAGAAGCUGCACAAACCUUAAGGCGCAUUCAGAUGGUUUUUUGUUUAGUUGUUACUGAUUAGUGAAAGACAUUGACUUGAUAAGUGUAGGUACUUAUAUCAUAACAAAAAUAUGAAAGUUCAUAAAGUCACGAUCGGAGACCACCACUUCAGGAGCUCCUGUACUAUAAUAGUUGCGCUGAGUGGGCGGAUCCACCGCCAUCUCCAAAUUUGGGUAGAAUGGACGUUCACCCAAUCUUCGUCUGGACUGGCAGAGGCCUGAAGUUGAGCCUCCUUUGCUUCCAUGGUUCCAACAGGAGUUUUUAGACAUAUAUAUCUAAGCGCAGACAAAUCAUCAUCUAGUUGAAUACUAGAUACUAUAUCAUUCAUAGUUAUCUGCAUGCAAAAUUUCAGCCUGAUCCGUCCAGUAGUUUUGAGCUGUGCGUUGAUAGAUCAGAGGGCGAUUCCGAACACUUCGAUAACAUAACGAAUCGAUUCGAU